CCUACGGGUGGCAGCAGUGAGGAAUAUUGGUCAAUGGGCGCGAGCCUGAACCAGCCAAGUAGCGGGAAGGAUGACUGCCCUACGGGUUGUAAACUUCUUUUAUAAAGGAAUAAAGUGAGGCACGUGUGCCUUUUUGUAUGUACUUUAUGAAUAAGGAUCGGCUAACUCCGUGCCAGCAGCCGCGGUAAUACGGAGGAUCCGAGCGUUAUCCGGAUUUAUUGGGUUUAAAGGGAGCGUAGAUGGGUUGUUAAGUCAGUUGUGAAAGUUUGCGGCUCAACCGUAAAAUUGCAAUUGAUACUGGCAGUCUUGAGUACAGUUGAGGUAGGCGGAAUGCGUGGUGUAGCGGUGAAAUGCUUAGAUAUCACGAAGAACACCGAUUGCGAAGGCAGCUUACGAAACUGCGAUUGACGCUGAUGCACGAAAGCGUGGGUAUCAAACAGGAUUAGAUACCCGGAUAGUC
rnacentral:rRNA from 1 species